GAAUUAAAAUCCGUUGGCUUUAUAGACCGUGAG
rnacentral:tRNA from 1 species